rnacentral:rRNA from 1 species
UACGAAGGGGGCUAGCGUUGCUCGGAAUUACUGGGCGUAAAGGGCGCGUAGGCGGAUGUCUAAGUCGGGGGUGAAAUCCCGAGGCUCAACCUCGGAACUGCCUUCGAUACUGGCGAUCUUUGAGUCCGGGAGAGGUGAGUGGAACUCCGAGUGUAGAGGUGAAAUUCGUAGAUAUUCGGAAGAACACCAGUGGCGAAGGCGGCUCACUGGCCCGGUACUGACGCUCAGGUGCGAAAGCGUGGGGAGCAAACAGG